rnacentral:misc_RNA from 1 species
UCGUCAUCGUGUGCGCAGUCCAAUACGUGUCCGCAGUCCGAGAGAAAUAAGUACUCCCAUCGGUCGUAUUCCGUUUUUCGUUUUUUCCCCUCUCGCCGUACACCUGUUGGUGGAAAAUACAACGCCGACCGAUCACCACCGUCAAUAUAAUUUAUUGUUCAUAUUAUAUUAUAACACGCAUGUGUUUAAUUAUAGAAAUUGUUUAGUAAUAGUAUAAUAUAAAAACCGACGAGUGCGACGCGCGUUUACAGAUAACACGGUUGGUCCGUCUAUAUAGUCCGUAUCAAAACAUUGAAUACCACAUAUACACACACACUCACACACACGCACUCAAACGUAGCAUAAAUCAUCGUGUCAAUAACGCAUUGCGGUGUAGUAUAAUUUGUCGUCGUCACCGUCGUCGCCAUCGUUCAAGUAAAACGCGAAAAAUGUUAACAAGUCUCGUUUGAUAUAUCUACAAGAAGGUAUCUAACCAAACCACUCUUCCGUCACCGAUCUAAUCGUCCGGAGAAAAUCCGUAAACUACCCACCGACCACCAUCACCGGUGUCCUCCACACGUCGUCCAACGACAAAGUUUCCAUGAAAAUGACGGAAAUGAACGCGGUCAACACGCAGAGCAUCGCCGACUAUUUGGCGCAAUUGCUCAAAGACCGCAAACAAAUCACCGCGUUUCCAAACAUGUUCAUGCACGUCGAGCGGCUUAUCGACGAAGAAAUAACCAAAGUCCGGGCCAGCCUAUUCGAAGUGAACGGCGUGAAGAAGGAACCGUUGGUGCUGCCGGAACCAGACGGCGCGCCCGUCACCAUUACCGAAAAAGUGUUUGUGCCGGUUAAGGACCAUCCGGAGUUCAACUUUGUCGGAAGAAUAUUGGGCCCACGAGGUAUGACGGCAAAACAAUUGGAAUUGGAAACCGGAUGCAAGAUUAUGGUUCGAGGAAAGGGUUCAAUGCGUGAUAAGAAAAAGGAGGAACAAAACAGAGGUAAACCCAACUGGGAACAUUUGAGCGAAGAACUACAUGUUUUGAUAUCCGUUGAAGACACUGAAAACCGGGCUAAGCUCAAGUUGAAGAGAGCUAUCGAUGAAGUUAAAAGGCUUCUUGUACCAGCUGAUGGAGAAGAUGAAUUGAAGAAACGCCAACUAAUGGAACUUGCUAUCAUCAACGGAACGUAUAGGGACUCAAACGCUAAAGCCUUAGCAGCAGCAGCUUGCGAUGAGGAAUGGCGUAGGAUGGCUGUUGCAGCAGCUGCUGAGACACAGCGACUUUUGUCGCCACAUGGUAUGGGUGGCCUAGCCACAACUUUGAGACCACAAACUGCCACACCAUUAACUGCGCCACUUAUAUUAUCGCCACGUAUCCCGACUGCCAUUACUACCAGCGGUGGAAAUCCUGGUGCACCUCAGCUAUUGUCUCCAGCUGAACAUCAUCAUCAUGCUGCAGCAGCAGCAGCUGCAGCUGGUCUUAUAUAUACACCAUAUGCUGAUUAUGCCAACUAUGCAUUAGCUGGAUCACCAUUGAUCACAGAAUACACUCCUGCCGAUCACUCGGAAUGUUCGGCCAGAUACAUGCUAAUGGUUCCAGAACUACAAGGGCUCACCUACCGUCACUGGCCAAAUCAACCAGGUGCAGCAGCCGCGGUUGCGGCGGCGGCUCAGGUCGCCAAACAAAGAAGGCAUUUGACUCAGAUCAGGGAUCAUCCGUAUCAGAGGGUUGGCACUUCGAUUGUCAAUUAAAAAAAAAAAAAAAAACCAAAAUUAAAAAAAAAGUUCUUUGAAUCUGAAAGGCUUGCGGAGAUCUAACAUACUGGACCUUUAUUUUAA